rnacentral:ncRNA from 2 species
GUUUGUAAUGGUAAGUGUUUUUAAUUUCAUUUUUAAAAACAAUAAUAGGAAAGCAAUUAUUUACAAGUGUGUUUUGUUAUAGGAAAAUUCUCAAAAUGCUCCACUUGUACAUGCAACCUUGGAAACAUUGCUCAGAUUUCUGAACUGGAUUCCCCUGGGAUAUAUUUUUGAGACCAAAUUAAUCAGCACAUUGAUUUAUAAGUUCCUGAAUGUUCCAAUGUUUCGAAAUGUCUCUCUGAAGUGCCUCAC